AUGCGCUUGACGCAGUCACGCAGGCGAAGAUCCCCAUCGUUGGACCGGCAACGGUGUGUCCGUGCGGUCGCCGCUUGCGUCCAAGCAGAAGCACGCACUGGAGUCCAGCGCUCCCGCGGAACACGCCUUCGCCAAAUGGGGAUAUGCCUGGGCUCCUCUUGCUCCGCCUCCAGGCUUGAUGCUUGCAGGCCGAGCAGCUCGCCGGCAACGUGCUCUACUACGGAGAACCCACUUUGGGGUGGUGCAUCUGCACAACCUGGCGGGGACGUAGAGGCACUUAUGUUCUGCUUGGCGGUGGUUGUCCACGCUGCGCCCCUUCCUUCUUUCUCCCGACGAGGAUGGCGGCGCCGUGUCCGCGCACCCGCGGCCUUCAAUGGCGAGCAGCGCCGGUUGCACUCGAGGCCGGCCUGCUAG
rnacentral:rRNA from 1 species